rnacentral:ncRNA from 1 species
ACUAGAAAAUGCCACCCCUGUUGCGAGGCAGGUUCGGAAAGCCAUGGGUCUUUGAUACUGUCACUUGGCAGUAAAUGAGAAGAUCGCCAGGUUGCCUAA